rnacentral:rRNA from 1 species
UGGGGAAUUUUGGACAAUGGGCGAAAGCCUGAUCCAGCAAUGCCGCGUGUGUGAAGAAGGCCUUCGGGUUGUAAAGCACUUUUGUCCGGAAAGAAAUCCUUGGCUCUAAUACAGUCGGGGGAUGACGGUACCGGAAGAAUAAGCACCGGCUAACUACGUGCCAGCAGCCGCGGUAAUACGUAGGGUGCAAGCGUUAAUCGGAAUUACUGGGCGUAAAGCGUGCGCAGGCGGUUUGCUAAGACCGAUGUGAAAUCCCCGGGCUCAACCUGGGAACUGCAUUGGUGACUGGCAGGCUAGAGUAUGGCAGAGGGGGGUAGAAUUCCACGUGUAGCAGUGAAAUGCGUAGAGAUGUGGAGAAUACCGAUGGCGGAAGGCAGCCCCCUGGGCCAAUACUGACGCUCAUGCACGAAAGCGUGGGGAGCAAACAGGAUUAGAUACCCUGGUAGUCCACGCCCUAAACGAUGUCAACUAGUUGUUGGGGAUUCAUUUCCUUAGUAACGUAGCUAACGCGUGAAGUUGACCGCCUGGGGAGUACGGUCGCAAGAUUAAAACUUCAAAUGGAAUUGACGGGG